rnacentral:rRNA from 1 species
GUAUCAUAACCGACACAGGUGGGUAAGUAGAGUAUACUAAGGGGCGCGAGAUAACUCUCUCUGAGGAACUCGGCAAAAUAACUCCGUAACUUCGGGAGAAGGAGUGCCUUAUUCUUAAGGUUGCAAUAACAAGAUCCAAGCAACUGUUUAUCAAAAACACAGGUCUCCGCUAAGUCGUAAGACGAUGUAUGGGGGCUGACGCCUGCCCAGUGCCAGAAGGUUAAAGAAGUCGGUUAGCAAUAGCAAAGCUGGUAACUGAAGCCCUGGUGAACGGCGGCCGUAACAAUAACGGUCCUAAGGUAGCGAAAUUCCUUGUCGGGUAAGUUCCGACCCGCACGAAAGGCGUAAUGAUUGGAUGCUGUCUCGGAGAGGGGCUCGGUGAAAUAGACUUGUCUGUGAAGACGCGGACUACCUGCACCAGGACAGAAAGACCCUAUGAAGCUUUACUGUAACUUGAAAUUGAAAUUGGACUUUAUUCGCGCAGUAUAGGUGGGAGGCGUUGAUUAUAAUCUUGUGGGAUUAUUGGAGCCAUCAGUGAGAUACCACUCUUGUAAUGUUAGAUUUCUAACUUUGAAUCAUUAUCUGGUCAAAGGACAGUUUCAGGCGGGCAGUUUGACUGGGGCGGUCGCCUCCUAAACGGUAACGGAGGCGUACAAAGGUUUCCUCUGAACGGUUAGAAAUCGUAUCUAGAGUGUAAAGGCAUAAGGAAGCUUGACUGUGAGACCUACAAGUCGAGCAGGGACGAAAGUCGGUCUUAGUGAUCUGACGGUACUGAGUGGAAAGGCCGUCACUCAACGGAUAAAAGUUACUCUAAGGAUAACAGGCUGAUCUCCCCCAAGAGUUCACAUCGACGGGGAGGUUUGGCACCUCGAUGUCGGCUCAUCGCAUCCUGGGGCGGUAGUACGUCCCAAGGGUUGGGCCGUUCGCCCAUGAAAGCGGUACGCGAGCUGGGUUCAGAACGUCGUGAGACAGUUCGGUCCAUAUCCGGUGUAGGCGCUAGAAUAUUGAGAGGAGCCUUCUUUAGUACGAGAGGACCGAGAAGGACAUACCUCUGGUGUACCAGUUAUCGUGCCAACGGUAAACGCUGGGUAGCUAUGUAUGGAGUGGAUAACCGCUGAAAGCAUCUAAGUGGGAAGCCCACCUCAAGAUAAGUAUUCUCAUCACGUAAGUGAGUAAGGUCACGGUAAGACUAACCGUUUGAUAGGCAUUAAGUGUAAGUACAGUAAUGUAUGUGCUGAGAUGUCCUAAUAGACCGAGGACUUGA